GACGAACGCUGGCGGCGUGCCUAAUACAUGCAAGUCGAACGAAGCUGUUUUAACUGGUGCUUGCACCGACUUAAACAACUGAGUGGCGAACGGGUGAGUAACACGUGGGUAACCUGCCCCAAAGCGGGGGAUAACAUUUGGAAACAGAUGCUAAUACCGCAUAACCACAGAAACCACAUGGUUUCUGUGUCAAAGAUGGUUUCGGCUAUCACUUUGGGAUGGACCCGCGGCGGAUUAGCUAGUUGGUAAGGUAAUGGCUUACCAAGGCAAUGAUACGUAGCCGAACUGAGAGGUUGAUCGGCCACAUUGGGACUGAGACACGGCCCAAACUCCUACGGGAGGCAGCAGUAGGGAAUCUUCCACAAUGGACGAAAGUCUGAUGGAGCAACGCCGCGUGAGUGAAGAAGGUUUUCGGAUCGUAAAACUCUGUUGUCAGAGAAGAACGUGUGCGAGAGUAACUGUUCGUGCAGUGACGGUAUCUGGCCAGAAAGCCACGGUUAACUACGUGCCAGCCGCCGCCGUAA
rnacentral:rRNA from 1 species